CGUUAAAUCGAAGAUUGCACAUCGAAAGUCUCGUUCCAAACGCAUUAUCAUCCGAUCAUCUCCAUUAUCUUAAACGUGCAUCGACCGCGCAACAGCCCAUUUAGAUAACACGCGAUCGUGCGAAUCGCGUCCGCUUCAAGGGCUGUUUGGAAGUUAGCAGUGUGUCGUGGGUACGUGCAUCGGGCGUACGUGUCGAAUAACAUAUUGAGGUCCGGCAUGGAGUCGCAACUUGAAACUGAUUUAUAACAGCGGUUCACCGACCCGUCACGAUUUCGUACUUGCCGCGAAACAAACGCCCCUCCCUCGCCGGCUACGUGACUUUCCCGCGCCAACAACUAUGCGAAACUUCCGGCCCUGGGCCGAAUCGCUCGGAUACUUUCCAUACUUUCCACUCCAUUUUUAACAUUCACCGAUGCAUUCCUGAGGUACGGAGAGAUAUCAUCGGAGAGAGAGACAGAGAGAGAGAGAGAGAGAGAGAAAAGGAAGAAGAGGUGGAAAGAAGUGCGGAUGCAACGAGGAUCCACGGAAUAAUUAUUUAAAAAGUCUGAAACACGGUUAAGUGACGCGAUUACGCUUCAAAGCGAAACCGGGGAGCGAAUCCGUCUCCGUUCGUAGCUACCUGCUCACUGAAACCGUCUUUAUUCCUUAUGUUAUGAAAAUUUACGAGCUUCUGUGUAUAUAUAUAUACACACGUUUGUCGUUUGCCUCGUCGCGCGUUGAAAGGAAAGAAAGUAAACAAAUCGAGCGUCUGUAUUGUAUGGAAAUCGAGUUAAGAGGAUUAAAUAUUAACUCGGAGAAAUGUCAACAUAGCGUAGCGCGAUGGAAAUAUUCGUGCUAUACGAUUGUUUAAAUUUAUUAUA